rnacentral:rRNA from 1 species
CAGGCCUAACACAUGCAAGUCGAACGGAAAGGCCCUGCUUUUGUGGGGUGCUCGAGUGGCGAACGGGUGAGUAACACGUGAGUAACCUGCCCUUGACUUUGGGAUAACUUCAGGAAACUGGGGCUAAUACCGGAUAGGAGCUCCUGCUGCAUGGUGGGGGUUGGAAAGUUUCGGCGGUUGGGGAUGGACUCGCGGCUUAUCAGCUUGUUGGUGGGGUAGUGGCUUACCAAGGCUUUGACGGGUAGCCGGCCUGAGAGGGUGACCGGCCACAUUGGGACUGAGAUACGGCCCAGACUCCUACGGGAGGCAGCAGUGGGGAAUAUUGCACAAUGGGCGGAAGCCUGAUGCAGCAACGCCGCGUGCGGGAUGACGGCCUUCGGGUUGUAAACCGCUUUCGCCUGUGACGAAGCGUGAGUGACGGUAAUGGGUAAAGAAGCACCGGCUAACUACGUGCCAGCAGCCGCGGUGAUACGUAGGGUGCGAGCGUUGUCCGGAUUUAUUGGGCGUAAAGGGCUCGUAGGUGGUUGAUCGCGUCGGAAGUGUAAUCUUGGGGCUUAACCCUGAGCGUGCUUUCGAUACGGGUUGACUUGAGGAAGGUAGGGGAGAAUGGAAUUCCUGGUGGAGCGGUGGAAUGCGCAGAUAUCAGGAGGAACACCAGUGGCGAAGGCGGUUCUCAGGGCCUUUCCCGACGCUGAGGAGCGAAAGCGUGGGGAGCGAACAGGCUUAGAUACCCUGGUAGUCCACGCUGUA